rnacentral:lncRNA from 1 species
AUGUGGUGGUGGAGUGAAGAGCAAGGACAUCUGCUGCUCAGAGUACUCCUCGCUGGACUCCCUCCGCACCUGGCAACCUCAGAUGGUCUGGUCUCAAGCAGCGUCCCAUCAAAGAGCACCACCUGCAUCUCACAGUGGCAUGGUUGCCAGAAAACUGGGACUUGUGGGGUAGAGGGAGCUUCCACUCCUAGAUGGCGAUGCAAAGCAUAAUGACAAGGAUUAGAACAUCUGACUUCUCAAGACUGACUGUGAAGUCAUGACCAUGAGUGAAGUUGCAGGUGAUUCCUGCUUUCAUAUUGAAAAUGUCUCAUAACAUGCUCAUUCCAGAGCUGCAGAAAGUAUAUCCAUUCUCAUUAUAUCAACAGCCAGUGUUUAACCCUGCUGGACUCUCUUUAAAUUGCAUGUGAUUGAUUUGUUGGUAAGCUUGGGGUUUACACCACAAAAUGGGCUUCAGAAUACCUUUUAGUGGAAUUUGACAGUCUCUUUUUCAAAUUGGAGUGACUGAGGCUAAGAAGAAUAAAGGCUUUUUAUGCAGCA